UUCGAGAAAAUUUUAUUCCAUCAUAACAAAACAGGCCAAGCUACAGAACUCUGCCUGGACACUUUUAACACAGGCUUUUUAAGAGUAAGUUAUUUACAAGGGAAUUAUGGGUUUCAUGAUUUCUGUUUUGUUGAUUUCGUGUGUUUUCUGCACGCAUCUCCAGCAAAAACAGAAGCACGAAUCUCAUUGUAAUAUGAUUUAGGUAUUUAAAAAAAUAGUUAAAAAAUUCUACGGUAUAAUUUGUACUGACACACUGAGGCAGUCUGUGUGUUUAGUGUAGGGUUGCGUUCUCUGAAUGCUUUGUCUCGUUUUGGUGAAGCAUUGUCAAAUGCGCGUUCCCGCGGCGCUCCAGGCCAGCCCAGUAUCCCCGUGCGCUCGCUCCCGCGUCGGGCUGGUGGAAAAAACUGCAGCGGCUGUUACUGGAGCCACGCAGGGAGAAAAGCCGUGUGCGGAAAAAAAUCACUGGCUCUGGCAGAAGCUGAGCCAAACAAACUCGGAUUUUCCCUUAUUUCUGCCGAGAACGACGUUGUAAACCUGGAUUUGUGGUCGUCAGGAAGUCGAAGUACCGAUCGGGGGACAGUAGGCGUCUUUAAAGGAAAACAGACUGCUGUGUUAGUAUGGACUGUGGCCUCAACUCAAUCAACACAUUGUUAUCCUUUCAGACGUCUAACACUCAGGAUAACAGAGAGCUGCAGAGUCAGGCAGGUUCAGUGGCCAGAGAAGUGAGUGGGGAUGAUGACAUUCACACGUGUCACACAAUCGGGAGGAAGUCUUUUUGUGAGGGGAAAUAGAUAAGGAUAACGUAUUCGUUUCUCUGUGGAUGGGCUGUGGUCAUGAAAGCUGAUACUGACACAGUGUUCAUCCUGGUGAAUGCAGAACACCAUAGAACAGGAACACAUCAGGUUUCAACAGAAGGUUCUCUCAGUUUCACCAGCUUGAGGUCCAUGGCUUCCACUGCUUGAUAAAGUGCUGUGAGUAUAUGCUCAGUUUGCUCAGUUUUGCAUCCCAUUCAAAUAAUUGAAAUGACUUGUAUAACUUAAUGUUGGAUGUGGUAACACUCAAAGAGUUUUGGGCCAAAAUAAUGUUAAAAGAUUAGUGAUUCUUCCUCAGCUAGGUCGUCAGAACUUUACAGAAAACACCACUUUAGUUUGUUGUGUUUAUAAUGUCACACUCUUGGCUUCACUCCCACAACAUGUUUUUUUCUUUGACAUUUUUCUUUAGCAAGAUUUCUGGCUCUGGAUCACACACAUGCACCCGCUCAUGUUUUUUUUGCUCUUGGGAAGUAGCUAGAUAAAAAAGAAAGUGUUUCAUUACAGGCAGGGUCCUACUUCACUUACAGUGCCAUGCACAGGCUGCGUAUUUUCACUAGGCUAUUACAUGACCUCAAAGUGCUUUUGUUGCCCCCUGGAAUCACUGGUUUGUGGCACUGAUCUCUUGUUUGCAUUGCCUUUACAAUUUCACGUUUGGCAAAAGCCAUCCCCAAUGAGUACAGUUAGAUAAAGACACAUUUAAAACCCUCCAAUCUGGCUCUGAGUUUUACACUGUGAAAGAAGGUGGCAGUGAAAAGUAGGACAUUUUUUACGGCAGCUUAAGUUUUGUCUUGGGGCUGUUUUUAGUUGCUUCCUGCUUCCCAGUUUCCUGCCAAUUAAUUUUUUUUAUUCUUCCAACAAGAAGGACUAUUUAAUGAAAUAGAGACAUUUGAAUGUUGACAUGCACUAUUUCAAUCACUGUUGCUCAGAAAUGCUUAAAAUUAAUAUUAAAAGAGGUCUACACUACUGCAUUGAUCUUGGUCCUGAAGCCAUUAGGAGUUUCUGUGAUCCCAACUGGCUUCUGUUCAUCACAGCCUCACUGCCACUGCAGCCGUCUGUACGAUGCUAUCUUCAGUGUAUUGGGAGGCCAAAUAAGCCUCUGUUCCAUAGGGAGAGAGAGAGACAGUGUAGGCAGAGACAGUGAUCGUCAGCAGAGAGAAAUCCUUCAUGAGCUCUUCACACCAGUGUGGAGACAACGAGUGAAUCAAAGUAGAGCGAGAGGAAAUAAGUGUACGUGUGCUUGUGUGAAAUGUGUGUGUUUGUGAUGCUGUGAGGCUGAGAGAUUGAGCGGUGGGGGUGUUCUCUCUUUUACUCAGAGUGUGAGUAAAAGAGAGAACAGAAAAUCUGAGGAUGACAUGUUUCCAUUUUUAGCACAUCAAGUUGCACAUGAAUACAGUUCAGCUGUUGUACUGCAGUUGUCUGCUGUGGUUUAAUCUCAUGCAUUGGUGUUCAAACACCAGAUGAACAUGUUUUCUACUAUAUACGACUUGGACUAGAGUAUUUUUACAGGGCUAAAUAAAAAUGUGGCUCAAACUGAGCAGGGUAAAAAAAACAUUGGUGGCUUUCACACUGUGCAGACUACAGAUCUUUUUUGUUGCCCUCCACAUGACUGUUUUCUUUGAGGUUUUACAUUAAACAUUUUCUGUCCCUUCUAUAGCUUUGCCGCCACUGGAAUUUCUAAACUAGUGUAAAGGAUCCAAACUGAACCAUGAAAAACUAUCCACUUUUGUAUGUUUUGGACAGCUGUCAUUUUUUUCCCCUCUUCAAAAUUAGGUCGGCGAAGCUAAAAACAGACACAGACAACUCAGACAAUUUGUCAUCGUCAUGUUUACCUGCUACACUGGUGAAAAUUUAGACACAUUGGUAUUUUAUCUGCAGAGGAAAUAUUGUUUUUUUUUUAAAAAAAAGUUGGUAAUUUAAAAUAAAAACAGAAACCUCUCCAAUAAGGCUUUUGAACCUUUGUUUUUCAGACACAAAAAGUAAUGGGAAGAAAGUAAGGACAUUCCACUUACAGAAGUGUAAUUAUUAGUAUUUGUCACUGGAAAGCCCUACAGAGUUGCAGAGUUGUUACUUGAAGACUUGAACUUGGUGCUUUGUUCUUGUGGGUAGAUCACCCAAGCAGCAUGUUAAUGUCAGGAAUGAACAAGGCCAUAGAUCUUGUGUUGUUUUUGUGUGUGUCUGUGUGUGUGUAGUAUGCACUCCCACGCAUCUGUUCUGCCACUCUGCUGGUGUUUAUCUGGAGGCCAGUGGGAUUGGUCUCCCCAGAGACUUACCCUGGCUCUUUCCCAGACCAGAAUUAAACAACUCUCCCAGAGGUUGCACAAUGCUAAACAUUACAGAGGAAUGCUGGUGCUUUCUCGUUUUUUUGAUGUAUUUUUUUUAGCUGCCGUCUCACAGUCUCAGAGCUCCUCUCUUCUUCACAACAAUGCAAAUAGAUUCCAUCCUAUUUCAAUAACUCCAACAUAGAUUAGUUAACUACAGUUACAUCCUUCUUAGUUGGCAAUAUAAUGUGAUAUGAAAAGUGAACACAUGGAGAUGUACUCUGUUCAGAAGAUCAUUGAGAUAAUAAUACAUUCAUGUGUUAAGAAAUUGAUACAUUAAUGCUGACAUUUAUUAUUUAUUUUUUGUGAGACCUUUGAUGACUUGUUCCAAUGCAAAACUAAUCAACCUCCAAUCAAUUCUGUGACCCAAGGUGUGUCUACAUAGUUUCUUAAAAUGUCACCUGUCCUGUCAUGGACCUAAUGCUCACAUCUCCACCAAUUAAAAAUUCCUAUUGUCUGAUAUUGCUCAAACAUUGAAAGUGACUGUUAAAACUGUCCAAAUUCUUAAGACUAAACCUCUGUGCUACCAUUAGGACACUGUUGUUUCUGGCCAGAAGGUUAUAUUUUGCUAGAGUUCAGAGUCACUCUGGCGUUUGACUCAAAAAAGUUAGGAAUUAAUAUCAAUGCUAAUUCUGGGAAUCUACAGUGGGUUAUGGCUGGUGGAAACAAAUAUCAGACUUUGACGAUGAUCUGGAUUCAGAUUUGGAGUAAUGACUUGGUGGGAAACUGAGAGCCCUUGGCAGAGAUCUGCACUCUCUGGGUCCUUUCUCUAUUUCAACAGUGGUUUUGCCUUGUUAUUUUCUAAGUCUAAUCUGUCAGUGAAUGAGCAAUGGUAGGGCGACUUAUAAUGAGGUAGUUUGGUUGUCACAUUACUCACAGUUAACUGUCAACACUCCUGCUAGUGUGGCUUCUGCAGUCCAUCUUUCGGUUUGUUUGCUUGGGAAAACUUGAGGCCUGAGGAUUAUGGCACAAGCAAGAAAUAUGUCCAAGACAAUUGUGUCCUAACUUCUUAAACUGCAGUGUAAAUUCACAGUCAGUUUCAGUUGCUUAAAACAAGACAUAUGUUAUGUUAUUGGUUGUUUAUCACAAUGAACCGAUUGGAAAUCUUUGGGUUUUGUUAAUUAACUUGUACUUACCCACAAAUCCCCAAAUUCAUGAGAUACACACAGAACAACAAGAGAACUUGGGAACAGAUUAUCAACUAUUUAAUAUUGUUUACACAAAGCAUUUUCAAUUUCUACUUUUUGUUAAUAUUUUCUUUUCAUAUAAACUUCACUAAAGUCCACUCCACAACCAGGUCGAGAAUAUAAACAAUGUGAAGGUGCUGCUGAAUCACAACAGGGAGAUGUUUGAAGGUCAUCACUUUAAAUUGCUGGAUGAGCUGCAAGAAUAUGAAAAGAAAAAAACAAAACCAAAACACAGCAAUAAAUAAGCCAACACUUUAUUUCCUGCCGUCAUUGUGCCCUUCAGCAAGGUUCUGAACUCCACUGCUUGGAGCAUCUGCUUGUAUUAGCUGUUUAUGUAUGUUAUCCCCGCAUGGACUUAAUAAAACAGGCUAUUCCUAGAUCAACAGGAAAGAUAACAUCUUUUUAUUAUUUAUGGGUUGCUUCUGUGACAAUAUUUAUAUUGGUCAGAUAAGCUAGAAAAAUUGUAUGGGGACAUUUCUUAUGACCUUGAACGUUUUAACAUUGUCAAAACAUUGUCAUUAAAAUUUUCAAUCUUUUUUAACCACUAGUGAUCCACUGUUCUGUGACAGCCUACUUUAGGUAGUGAUAUCUUAAAACUUUUAAAUGAUAUUGGAAUCUUGUCUUGUGUUUUGUAAUCAGUGCAUUCUUGACACUUACACAGCUGCAUUGGCAAGGGUUGGCAACCGUCUUUCCCUGUGCCCACCUUCUCACACUGCAGUUCUUGUCCCAUGUUUCUGUCCUUUCUGCUCUUGUUGAUCCUUCUGCCUUAUUACUUAAGCCUUCAAGCAGAGAAUCUGACUGCCAUCUCCUCGUGGCUUCACUAUCAGCCUCACUGAUUCCACCAUUAUGCACCAGGAUCAGUACGCUCAUCUCUCUCUGUCACUAAACGUGCUUUGUGUGGCAACUGAUUUUCUUCCUUUCCUGACUUUUUUUUUAAAGUGGAGGACGUUGCAUUGUGAACUAACAUUAGAUGUGGUUAAUUUAACACAUUUACCUGCUCGGUAACAUCAUAAGAAACAACACAUUACUGUGUUCCAUAUUAAUUUGUAAAUUUGUAAAUAUGAUACUGCAUUUGCAAUGCAUUGUUUCAGUAUGACAGAAUCAUUGCAGCUACUGUUUUUAAUAUGUAAGAUACAUUAAAGAUGUUCAUGAACUCUCGAGCAAAGAAGUUCAUCAAAGAGCUGUUUUCUUUCAUUUAUUCAUCUCAGCCGUCCACUGAGUCAGGACUCAGGUAACCAGGUGAAAACUGGCAGAAAAUUGGAUUUGAGCAGUGGGCUGUCUUAGGUUUUCAUCAAACUGAUAUGUAACGCUGCUAAAUUUGGUGAUCUCUUCAUGUUCUGUCAACAGUGGGUUCUAGAUAUUUGAUCUCACUCCUGAUGAAUAGUUUACUGAUGUGUCAAAAGACUGAGGUUUGAGAUAUGGAGCAGUAGAUAAAAAUACAUAUCAAUGGAAUUAGAUAAAAGAACAAUGUAGACACAGGGGUUAAAAUAGCUCUUAAUAUUCUUUUUUAUGUGUCACUAUGAUGAUUUACCUUCAAAAUAAAGCAUCUUUUAUUGAGUAUUUUAAUGAGUAAAAAACUAUAAUCAACUCAACAAAGACAUCAGAGAUACUUACUGUUUAUCUGAGAAAUCAAUAAGCAGGACUAAUGGACUAGACUGGUCUGCAUUUACAUAGAGCUUCGUCCACAGCACUGAACAGUUUGCUUCUCAUUCAUACAGACUCAGUACACCCUGAACAGGCCUUCACUGUCGGUGUCACUGUUACUUUCAUAUUCUUACAUAGUCUCUAGAGUCUCUAGUUAAUCUAAAUCAUUUAGUGGACAGUGUAAAAAGAUUAAUCAGAGAAGUUGUUAAGAAAUGCAAGCACUCUUUCUGUGAGCCAACUGCUUUUCCAUCUUUUCUUUUUAGAGAUCAUAAAGUCUUAAUGGACAGUGGUCUUUCAGUUCCUGACAACAGUCGUAAAUCUGCCAGGUGAAUAAUGAAUCUAAAUUGUUAUUGCUAAUGCCUUACCAUUCAUUAAAUAUACAAGACAGACUACAGACAAAUUGAGAUGAUGAGAAUACCUGGCAGUUAUAAAACAUGUUUAGAACAGAACAGGUAAUACCCUUGUUUUUUUAAAUGAACAACUAAAACACAGAAAGCUUUGCAUUAAGUGGUCUGUCAGUUUCAAUAUGGCUGCCUAGCUGAUUACAUCUUAGACCUAUGUCCGUUUUGAAACUUAAAUCAUACAUUUUGUCAAUCUUGUCAAAGUUUUGUUCUCAAUACAUUUUAUUUUGAAAAACCAAAACUCACAACAGUCAAUCUCCUCCAACGUUCGCUUAAGCUAAUCUUUCUAACCCUUAUCCCUAAAGUGGCUUCUCCUUCUGGCUAUAACUGCAGCUCUGUAGUGUUUGAGCUUCAUUACUGCCACCUUCUUGGUGUUUGCUGAGGUAUUUAAUAGUGCUGAGGGCAGAGUCCCUACUGAGGAACACACACAGACAUACAUCCUGUGACACAAAAUGAAUUACUGACAGGUUUAAUUUUUAAUUAAUCCGUGGUUACAUUUACAGUCACUUCCUGCAUGCUCCACCGUUGAUGCUAAUGCAGGGCAUCUGUGUGUAGUAAUGAACAUACGUGUUCUUUUGUAUAGAAACCAAAGCACUGUUGUUGUCCAAUUUCUGUUAGUUGCAUAAUGUGUUGCAUAAGAAAAGUGAUACUAAUAUAGCAGCCCUUCAAAUAGUUGAUGGGCAUGAGUAGGAGCAGAGCCAAGAGUGUGUCCUGUCCAACACUCUCGAUAUCAAAACAACAACAGAAUCUUGAAUGUUAGAUAAGGGAAAAAUAAAAUUCGCUAACGUCACAUUGGGCUCCUGUUAUUUCUUUGGCAAUGUGUUUUCUGGCAUACACUAGAUGUAACGUAAGCCUCUGAGGCCUGAUCAGAAAAGUGUGAAAGACUGAAUUAUCUUGUCAGAGUGCACCUUGGGAAGCAGCUUUUCAUAAUUCUUUUUUGCUGCUUUGAAUAAAGUCAACACAAUAUGGAAGCUUUUAUCUUGACUCCACCCAUUGUGCUGUCAGCCAGGGAAGAAGUAAUACAGUUUUAAAGAUAGGCUGUCUCAUGCGCUUACCAUGAAAGUGGUUUAUUUUUAAUUUUGUUAAUUUAAUCUUAGAGAAGUUGAAAUAUCAAAAACAAAAAAAAAAAACAUGUUAAAACUUCUGCUUUAGAGACCCUGCAAAGAACUAAGAUAUAUUUUGGGUUAUAUUUUGGUUGGAAAAUCACAAAUCUGUGAAACAAUAUGCAAAGUCCCCUUUGUUGUAGAUGCAUUUUUAAACUGUUAUUAUGUCAUGAUCUCAGUUAAUUUUAAACAAGUCUCUUGAUAAUGUAGUUUUUGUUUCCUGUGAGGAUGCAGUGCCGUAUUAUUAAUCUCUCCCCACCCAUCUACUGGUCACGACUAGGUCAGCAAAGUUUGAUUCAGAAGUUCCUGCUC